rnacentral:rRNA from 1 species
CUCGUCACACUAUCAUUAACUGAAUCCAUAGGUUAAUGAGGCGAACCGGGGGAACUGAAACAUCUAAGUACCCCGAGGAAAAGAAAUCAACCGAGAUUCCCCCAGUAGCGGCGAGCGAACGGGGAGGAGCCCAGAGCCUGAAUCAGCAUGUGUGUUAGUGGAAGCGUCUGGAAAGGCGCGCGAUACAGGGUGACAGCCCCGUACACAAAAGCGCAUGUGCUGUGAGCUCGAUGAGUAGGGCGGGACACGUGGUAUCCUGUCUGAAUAUGGGGGGACCAUCCUCCAAGGCUAAAUACUCCUGACUGACCGAUAGUGAACCAGUACCGUGAGGGAAAGGCGAAAAGAACCCCGGCGAGGGGAGUGAAAAAGAACCUGAAACCGUGUACGUACAAGCAGUGGGAGCACCCUUUGGGUGUGACUGCGUACCUUUUGUAUAAUGGGUCAGCGACUUAUAUUCUGUAGCAAGGUUAACCGAAUAGGGGAGCCGGAGGGAAACC